rnacentral:rRNA from 1 species
GGAAGUAAAAGUCGUAACAAGGUUUCCGUAGGUGAACCUGCGGAAGGAUCAUUACCGAUUUUAGCGAACCUAACCUUUGGUUAU